rnacentral:rRNA from 1 species
GAAAGAAAUCGCUGUCAAAUUAUGAUGGCUUUCAUUCACGGUUUUAGGGCCAGUGAACUUCUUGAUAGACACGGUCCAGACUCCUACGGGAGGCAGCAGUUGGGAAUAUUGCACAAUGGGCGCAAGCCUGAUGCAGCCAUGCCGCGUGUAUGAAGAAGGCCUUCGGGUUGUAUAGGACUUUCAGCGGGGAGGAAGGGAGUAAAGUUAAUACCUUUGCUCAUUGACGGUAGCGAGCGCGGAU